UACGUAGGUGGCAAGCGUUGUCCGGAUUUACUGGGUGUAAAGGGCGUGCAGCCGGGAAGACAAGUCAGAUGUGAAAUCCCGCGGCUCAACCGCGGAACUGCAUUUGAAACUGUUUUUCUUGAGUACCGGAGAGGUCAUCGGAAUUCCUUGUGUAGCGGUGAAAUGCGUAGAUAUAAGGAAGAACACCAGCGGCGAAGGCGGAUGACUGGACGGCAACUGACGGUGAGGCGCGAAAGCGUGGGGAGCAAACAGG
rnacentral:rRNA from 1 species